AGGACGAACGCUGGCGGCGUGCUUAACACAUGCAAGUCGAGCGGAAAGGCCCUUUCGGGGGUACGUCGAGCGGCGAACGGGUGAGUAACACGUGAGUAACCUGCCUUCAGCUUUGGGAUAACCCUCGGAAACGGGGGCUAAUACCGGGUAUUCAGCUUCUGCGGCAUCGUGGGGGUUGGAAAGUUUUUCGGCUGGGGAUGGGCUCGCGGCCUAUCAGCUUGUUGGUGGGGUAAUGGCCUACCAAGGCGGCGACGGGUAG
rnacentral:rRNA from 1 species